UACGUAGGGUGCAAGCGUUAAUCGGAAUUACUGGGCGUAAAGCGUGCGCAGGCGGUUAUGUAAGACAGGUGUGAAAUCCCCGGGCUUAACCUGGGAACUGCAUUUGUGACUGCAUAGCUGGAGUGCGGCAGAGGGGGAUGGAAUUCCGCGUGUAGCAGUGAAAUGCGUAGAUAUGCGGAGGAACACCGAUGGCGAAGGCAAUCCCCUGGGCCUGCACUGACGCUCAUGCACGAAAGCGUGGGGAGCAAACAGGAUUAGA
rnacentral:rRNA from 1 species